UACGUAGGGGGCUAGCGUUGUCCGGAUUUAUUGGGCGUAAAGAGCGUGUAGGCGGCCAGGUAGGUCUGGUGUGAAAACUCGAGGCUUAACCUCGAGAUGUCAUCGGAAACCAUUUGGCUAGAGUCCGGAAGAGGAGAGUGGAAUUCCUGGUGUAGCGGUGAAAUGCGCAGAUAUCAGGAAGAACACCAAUGGCGAAAGCAGCUCUCUGGGACGGUACUGACGCUGAGACGCGAAAGCGUGGGGAGCGAGCAGG
rnacentral:rRNA from 1 species